UACGUAGGAGGCGAGCGUUGUCCGGAGUUACUGGGCGUAAAGGGUGCGUAGGCGGCCGCGCGCGUGGGGGGUGAAAUCCCUCGGCUUAACCGGGGAACUGCGUCUGAUACUGGAUGGCUUGAGUUUGGGAGAGGGAUGCGGAAUUCCAGGUGUAGCGGUGAAAUGCGUAGAUAUCUGGAGGAACACCGGUGGCGAAGGCGGCAUCCUGGACCAACACUGACGCUGAGUGAGCGAAAGCCAGGGGAGCAAACGGG
rnacentral:rRNA from 1 species